rnacentral:rRNA from 1 species
UUAAACUGAAGAGUUUGAUCCUGGCUCAGAUUGAACGCUGGUGGCAUGCUUAACACAUGCAAGUCGAACGGUAACAGGUCUUAGGAUGCUGACGAGUGGCGGACGGGUGAGUAACGCGUAGGAAUCUGCCCAUUUGAGGGGGAUACCAGUUGGAAACGACUGUUAAUACCGCAUAAUAUCUGUGGAUUAAAGGUGGCUUUCGGGCUGUCGCAGAUGGAUG